GUUGGGUAUUGUAUGUGCAUGCCCACAAUCCUUGCUUUUGGGGGAGGCUGAGGCUGGUAGUUGCUUGAGCUUGGAGGUUCAGAGUUAUAGUCAGUUAAGUCAGUUGGAUGGCUGUACGAAGUCUGGGACCAAAGUGGUGAACCCUUGGAAGUGGGAAGUGAACCAGGCUGCCUAAGGAGGGGUGAGCUAGCCCAGAUUGGAAAUAAAGCAGGUCAAAGCUCCCAUCUCCCAUCUCUAUUAUAAGAUAAAGCCUAUUUGUGGCCACUGCAUUUCCAGCCUGGACAAGAUUAGGGAGACCCACUCUCA
rnacentral:SRP_RNA from 1 species